rnacentral:rRNA from 1 species
GACGCUAGCGGUGCGCCUAACACAUGCAAGUCGAGCGAGAAUUUUUAGAUUGCUUGCAAUUUGAAAAGGAAAGCGGCGAACGGGUGAGGAAUAUGUUGAUACCUGCCCCCAAGUCAGGGAUAGCCCAGGGAAACMUGGAUUAAUACMGGAUAGUCUCUUCGGAGUAAAAAUUUAUUGCUUGGGGAGGGGUCUUCAUUCUAUCAGCUUGUUGGUGAGGUAAUAGCUCACCAAGGCUAUGACGGAUAACUGGUCUGAGAGGAUGAUCAGUCACAAUGGAACUGAGACACGGUCCAUACUCCUACGGGAGGCAGCAGUGAGGAAUCUUCCACAAUGGACGAAAGUCUGAUGGAGCGACACCGCGUGAAGGAUGAAGGUCUAACGAUUGUAAACUUCUUUUCUGAAGGAGCAUAAUGAGAGUACUUCAGGAAUAAGGGACGGCUAAAUACGUGCCAGCAGCCGCGGUAAUACGUAUGUCCCAAGCGUUACCCGGAAUCACUGGGUGUAAAGGGUUCGUAGGCGGGGAAAUAAGUUGGAUAUGAAAGACCGAAGCUCAACUUCGUGUUUGUCUCCAAAACUGUUUUCCUAGAAUUAGGGAGAGGUAAGCGGAAUUCUAAGUGUAGGGGUGCAAUCCGUAGAUACUUAGAGGAACACCAAAAGCGAAGGCAGCUUACUGGAACUAUAUUGACGCUGAGGAACGAAAGCGUGGGUAGCGAAAAGGAUUAGAUACCCUUGUAGUCCACGCCCUAAACGAUGAUAACUAAGUGUUGGGAAUUUUCCCAGUGCUGUAGCUAACGCGUUAAGUUAUCCACCUGAGGAGUACGGU